AUGAAGGAAAAAUCUGCUGAAGGAAUGGAGCGUCCUUACAAAAUUCAAGCCGAGUUACAGCAGCAGAUGUCAUGGCAUAAUUAUCACUGGGAUGUAAAAGUAGGACUUUCUAU